GGGAUUGCCUCAGUAACGGCGAGUGAAGCGGCAACAGCUCAAAUUUGAAAUCUGGCCUUCUGGUCCGAGUUGUAAUUUGUAGAGGAUGCUUCGAGCGUGGUCCGGUCUAAGUUCCUUGGAACAGGACGUCAUAGAGGGUGAGAAUCCCGUAUGUGACUGGGUGCCUAAGCUCAUGUGAAGCUCCUUCGACGAGUCGAGUUGUUUGGGAAUGCAGCUCUAAAUGGGUGGUAAAUUUCAUCUAAGGCUAAAUACUGGCCAGAGACCGAUAGCGCACAAGUAGAGUGAUCGAAAGAUGAAAAGCACUUUGGAAAGAGAGUUAAACAGUACGUGAAAUUGUUGAAAGGGAAGCGCUUGCAACCAGACUUGCAUGCAGUUGAUCAUCCGAUGUUCUCACCGGUGCACUCGAUUGUAUUCAGGCCAGCAUUGGUUUUGGUGGUUGGAUAAAGGCCUAGGGAAUGUAGCUCCUCUCGGGGAGUGUUAUAGCCCUAGGUGCAAUGCAGCCUACCGGGACCAAGGACCGCGCUUCGGCUAGGAUGCUGGCGUAAUGGUUGUAAGCGACCCGUCUUGAAACACGGACCAAGGAGUCUAACAUCUAUGCGAGUGUUUGGGUGCAAAACCCAUACGCGGAAUGAAAGUGAACGGAGGUGAGAACCCUUAAGGGUGCAUCAUCGACCGAUCCUGAUGUCUUCGGAUGGAUUUGAGUAAGAGCAUAGCUGUUGGGACCCGAAAGACAGUGAACUAUACUUGAAUAGGGUGAAGCCAGAGGAAACUCUGGUGGAGGCUCGCAGCGGUUCUGACGUGCAAAUCGAUCGUCAAAUUUGGGUAUAGGGGCGAAAGACUAAUCGAACU
rnacentral:rRNA from 1 species